GAUCGAGACAGCUCUAUUUAUUUAUUGCGUCGUUAGCUAUACCUCGUAGGCGCGUGGGUCCCAAUCUCCAAGCCGUUUUCUCCCACAAAAUUUUGGACUAAACAAACCGACCACGCGAAAAUUGAAGGUGGUAAUCUCUGUCGCUUCAAAUUCAUGGAUAGACAAGCCGAAGUGGAAGAAGGAGUUGAGCAAAUAGAAACCUCUGUAUGUGGGGAACUAAGUGUGUGUGAAUACGAGAGAAAUCAAGAGCCAUUUGAGGGAAUGCUCUUUGACACGGAAGAAGCUGCACGAGCAUUCUAUGAUGAAUAUGCUACCCAAGUGGGGUUUGUUACCCGUGUACUAUCUUCGCGGAGGUCAGAGCGUGAUGGGUCAAUUAUUUCCCGUGGACUUGGAUGUAGAGAUGGGUCUUAUAAUAAAAAGAGAGACAGACGGCGAGAAGGUUGUACGGCAAAGUUUCUAGUGAAGAAAGAGAAGUCGGGAGCAUGGGCUGUCAAAAAUUUUGUGAGCGACCACAAUCAUCCCCUGGUUGUUACAUUACCAAAUAGACGUCCAAAUCUGGAUGAGAAAGAUAGGAAAAUUCAGGAACUGACAGCGGAACUGCGGGUUAAGAAGAAACUAAAUGCAGCAUAUCGUGACCAGUUACGUUCUCUUAUGAAAGACGUGGAAGACCACAGUGAAAAUCUAUCUACCAAAGCCCAAGUUGUUCUUAACAACCUCAGGGAACUUGAAGCUAAAAGGAAGGAGCUUCCACGCCGUGGGUAGCCUGAUUUUGGAGUGAGUACCUUUGUGGUGUGUUUGCUUCAAAUUGGUCAGUCAUGAAUUUACGUUCAUCCUUAAUUUUGCAGUCUUUGAUAUUAUUGUACAGUUUUUUUAGCCGGGAACCCAAUUCUGAGUAGGAAUGAAUUCUAGGAUAAAUAACACGCGGGAAGUGAGGCAUAUGAUGAAAAUGGGGGCAUCGUAUAAACCAUUUGGUAUCAGUCUUGGAUUGCAAUGGAUUAAGCUGUUGGCCUUUUGAAAUUAGGUGAUGGUAGUUGGUACCUGCUCUUUCCUUCCAUGCCACUACUUAGGGUAUUUUGUAUGGACAACCAUUGUUGCAGUCUUGCAGAGUUAUUAGCUGAUUUAGAUGCUCUAUGUUUCCUCAUAAAUGCUCUAUUAUUAGUUAUUUCUUUUCGCUUCUUCCCACCCUCCACCCAUGGAAUCAAAUUCAUCAUGAUUUCUGCAUAAUGAUUAAGAGGUCAAUCUUGUUCAUCAUGGAUAGUAAUUUUUGUUAAGCACUUGUUCUUUAUGUGCCUCCUCUGUUUUAAGUUUUAGCCAAAGGAAACAGAUGUUUGAUACUUUUUUCGUCUUUAGUGAACUACAUUUUGCUUUUGGACACAAUUUUUUACUUUAUAGACUCCUCUCGUCGAGACGGAUGAUUAAUGCUUAAAAUAUAACGCAAAUCUAAACAAAAAUUCCAAAAAGAUGAACAAAACACAUAGAACGAAGAAAAAAAAAGUUUACAAAAACCCACCCUAAAUUAAUGUAGAACGAGUGAAGGAUUUAGGGUUUCAACGGGGUAACACAGAUAUGGUUUUGGGGCCACGAUUAGGCUAUGUUCAAGGACAAUUCUAUGUCGUCUGCAGUUGCGAAUAGUAACCUCAUGAACUGUAAAAGUGGCUGAUUGCAUGCAGAAAACAAGAAAAGAAGAGAAGGAUUGAACAAGAUAGGUCUAUGAAUCAUGUGUAGGAGCCUUAAGCCUCACAUCUAGGGUUAUAUUGCAUAACACAACCAUAAAAGAGGCUUCAAUGCUCUGAUUCUGUAAUACUGAUCCACAUCUAGGGUUAUAUUGUAUAACACAACCAUAAAAGUGGCUUCAAUGCUCUGAUUCUGUAAUACUGAUCUCUGUUAUUAUUGUGGCAUAAGAUCCUUUAUAUGGACUAGAGACUUCCUAAACCAACUAAAACUAUGUUUUUUAAGAAAAGGAAGCUAUUGAAUCCUUGGACGUUUAAAACUUAUGUCAUGCUAAAAGAGACUCAUAAACCAAUUCAGUAACUCGACCCUCAAUCGCGACCAUGUACGGAAAAACUAAAAUUACCAAAAUACCCUAACUAGAAAACUUGACCAGCGACACUCUUAUUCAGUACUAAACCGAGAUAAGACUCCACUACGACUAUUUAUUUGACUAAUCACGCCUUCUUUAGGCCCUAUCUUGACAACGGUGAAAUUCCAUAUAUUGCCGCUUGCUUAAAUAUACUUUUUCUUGACAUCUGACAGCCUCCAUUUGCUUGGCCUGCAAAAACUAGAUCUUUACUUUAAACUAGUUCCCCACAUAAUUAAACUACUGUAUCUCUUCUUACAGAAUUCUUUUCUGAAACAAAAAAAAUACUUUAUUUUCCUUCACUUAACUCUUUUAGGGAAUAAUUUUCUUGAACGUUGCACCAAAUUGUUGACAGCUGAACAGAGCCUUAAAGCUGGACAUUCAACCCUAACCACUGAACUAGAAGCAGCAGCUUGUUAGCAAUAGUCCAAUGUAGUGGUGGCAGUAAUGAACACCCAAAAUGUGGAAUUUCCCCAAACAGAGCUGAUUAAAUUGCUAGGAUAUUGGGGUCCCUAUGAAAUGAAUCUCCAUGUGCUGAAGAUCCAAGCCAUCUUCAUUUUGUUCAGACUUCUGAUAUUGCUGCGGAGCCAUCUAAGAAUAUCAUGCUACAUGUGUUUCAUAGCCUGCAUUGGUCUGUAUGACGAAUUGUUUCCGGAAUGUUGUUGUAUAAUACGCUGUUAUGAUAUCAAGCUGUGAUGUUGCUAUUAUGUAGAAACAUGAACUUGCAUAUGCUUUUUUUAGUGCGCAAUACUGGUAUACAUCAACUCAUACGGUCAUAUUGAAUGAGAGUAAAUUUUCUUUUGAAAUAUAUUUAACAUACUUAUUCAGUGACAAACAAAGUUGCAUCUCCCAAAGAGGAAAAACAAGAAUUUAGCCAUUGAAAAACAACUAGCGCAGUGGAAGAUCCUUCUCCUGGAAGAUUGUUGCCUUCUUGUGUAUGCAUGCAUGCCUAACUCUAUAAACUCUCAAUUUCAAUGGGAAAUAUUUGUCACUUAUGAUAUACUUGUCUUAUGUUGUGCAGUGGUCCUGAACUUCUAAAGUAGCAAUGGCAUAGCCAGUGUAGUAUCCAUAUUUAUGUAAGAAGCAUUACAAAAGUUGCUUCAGAGGGGAAGCAGUUUAAUUGGGUGGAGUUUUGUGAUGUCAGGUCCCCUUGUGAGGCCAAGGUUUGUGGUUUACAGUGGUUUUGGUACUGGGAUGUUUAGGGUCUCUGAGUAUUUAAAUUAAGGGGAAAUGAUAUUAUGGCAACACAAUGUGGUGUACAAAACAUAUUACUCUGGAAUCUAUUUAGGUCAUUGUUAGUGUAGAUUCCUUAUUUAUCAAUGUAGGUCAACUGAGAUUUUGAAGCACUGAGAAAAAAUGAAUGUUUGAGUAUAUUUGCCAUUACUUUUCUUACACCACCACAAAUCGAAUAUCUGAACAGACCCUAAUUGUUGGUGCUUUUGACUUAAAACAAAAGUUGAAUAUUCCGUAUGGAAGGAUGAUAUGGAUGGUGGAUGCUAUAUACCCGGAUUAGUCAUUAGCCCCCACCCUCAUCCUGAGUUUGCCACCCAGAUGAGGAGGGUGAUUACUCAUCUGCCAGGAUGGUAUAUCCACUUAUAGGCAGAUAUGUAGUACCCAGCCCUCGGCCUUUUUUAUUUAUGAAGCAUUGUUCUCUUUAAAUCAUCAUUCACCUUUUAUCCACCCAUACCAGUUGCAAACAAACCAAGCAUAUACAUCACUCUUCAAGAACUUGUAAAACUGAUCCUGCUGACAACGGCCCGCAAGGGUACAUAUUUUGAUGGCAUCUCUAUGCUUCAUGUUUCUGUAGAUAGGCAGCUGCUGUAGUCAACUGCCCAGGUCCGUGGUUGGAAUGUGUUUUCAUUGAUUUCUUGGUUAUCUUUAACCAUAGUGUAAUUUCUGCUUAGUUGCCUUCACAGACUAUGUUUGGGUGUAGCUGGAAAGUAGGAAAUUGGUUGAAUAAUAAACAUGUAACCAAGUUAUCAUUUCGCGAGGGCAUUCUGCUGUUUUUUUUGGUAUGACAGAAAUAACUGAUGUCGAGAACGUAGUUCAGCGUACUAUGUAAACACUAAAGAGCAAAACUGUGCUAGCCCCCUCUAGAACCCCACAUCAUACAUGGUGUCUUUCAAGAACGAAGUGGCCAACUCAUAGAUGGAGAGACUUUUUGCACAUAUUAAUAGAGUCUUACUUUGCAUAUGAACAUGGUGCUUGCAGUCCUUUCAAGGAGAAAUUUGGAGUUUUCAAUUACGG